rnacentral:rRNA from 1 species
CCCUUAGAUGUUCUGGGCGGCCCGCGCACUACAAUGGCGCUUUCAGCGAGUUCCUAUGUUGAAUUUUCCUUGGUAUUCUUGGAAGCGGCGUCUUGACUUGGGAUAGAUCCUUGUAAUUGUUGGUUUUGAACGAGGAAUUCCUUGUAAUCGCGGUUGAUCAGCUCGCGUUGAAUACGUCCCUGCCCUUUGUACACACCGCCCGUCGCUCCUACCGAUGAAUCGUCCGGUGAGGCUUUGGGAUCUGAGCGGAAAGAGCGUUUCGCUGUUUCUGCUCGGAAAACUCAGUCGAACCUUAUCAUUUAGAGGAAGGAGAAGUCGUAACA